rnacentral:rRNA from 1 species
AUUCCAGCUCCAGUAGCGUAUAUUAAAGUUGUUGCAGUUAAAAAGCUCGUAGUUGGAUUUCUGAUAGUAGCGUUGGGCCCGCCCGGGUUACCGGUGUGAGUGCCUGUUCGCUCCUUUCAUCCUUCUAGAGAACGGUUCUCUCCUUCAUUGGCAGUGGGAUCGCAAUCUAGAUCUUUUACUUUGAAAAAAUUAGAGUGUUUAAAGCAGGCUUGUGCUAUGAAUACAUUAGCAUGGAAUAAUAAUUUAGGACUUUAGUUCUAUUUUGUUGGUUUCUAGAACUGAAGUAAUGAUUGAUAGGGAUAGUUGGGGGUGCUACUAUUCAGCGGCCAGAGGUGAAAUUCUUGGAUUCGCUGAAGACUAACUUAUGCGAAAGCAUUCACCAAGGAUGUCUUCAUCA